CCAAGAAAAACGUGCUCCUGGUCCCACCCGCUGAUUCAAGGAGGAAUAACACUGUGUGGAGCAGACCUGGACCCAAACUGAAGUUGGAAUCAAAUCCAACGAAGCCCAGGCUAGAUCAGCCAUUCCCAGCCAAUCCACAGACACUGAAGUGAGAAAACAUGAAGCUCCAAGCUCACCACCAACACAGUAAGAGCUAUGAAUACAAGGAAAAGGAGAUCGCGCAGGCCGGAAGGCUGAUUGGAGGAGAACCUUGACAGCAGCUACUUCUAGAUCUUCGCUGGCAAGUGAAGAUGACAGUGCAUCUGAAGAACUGAAUACUUACUGUAUUUUAAUUUAAAAAUUGAUACUGGUUUCAGUUCUUGGAAAGCUGAAUCAAGUUGUUUGGAACAACUGAGAUUUCUGUGGGACCGUGGUGGACCACACCCUCCUUCCCUCCAAAGCAAACUAAAAGGAGACGGAGGGUGGCCGAGGAUUUGGGAAGCAGGGAAAGGAGCGCCGGAGAAGGAAGGAACCCGACCGCCUCUAGGAAGGACGUGAUGCUGACCUUCAUUCAGUUAUAAACGCAGCCAGCUCACACUGUGUGCCCGCGCUGCCUGGUGAACUCAGUCCUCACCGCCACACCAUAAAGGAAGUACUUCAUUACCUCUGUGUUACAGAUGAAGAAGCCGAGGGCACAGAGAGGUGGAGUUCCCUGCCCAAGGCCACGCAGCGGGUGAGUGGCAGAUUCGGAGUGUUUAACCCAGGCCGCCUCUAGGGCCUGAGCUCUAAACGCCCCUGACAGACUGCUUCUAAUUUUAGAUUAUUGCUAUCAAUCCAACCUCCUGUGUGUGUAUCAGUGUCAGAUUGAAUUCCACUCUCCCCCGCUUCUAAAUAUUCAUGAUUUCACUUCCCUCUCGCCACAUCUCUUGCACAUCUCACAUUCCUCACCCC